GGGGUCAUGAAUUAUGCAUCAAGACACGAGGCAGGUGCGGGUUCUUAGAACCGGGUCUCGGUUCCCUUUGCUCUGGGUGCGAAAGGCUGCUGUAGGACGUCGCCGGUGUUCCUUCUUGCACCACCAAGGGUGUCUCGACGCUCUGGAGAUGCGGGAGGGAACGACGUGUCCGUGGUCCCCCGAGGUCUCUGCCGAGGCCCGGAGAGUGACAGUCUUUUCUCGCCAAGAGAAUGCGGCCCUUCCUCCUCUCCGACCCCGCCCUGCACUCGGUCUUUUCUCGUUGCCCUCGUCCGCAUCUCUGCCCCCUUGCCCUGCUUCAGCCCUCGACGCAGCACUCAUCGUCACCCGUUCCGUCGUUUACCAUCCGCCCUUUCCUACCAAAACAUCGGCUCCGCGGAGGCAAGGACUUUGAGUCGUUCGCUGCCUCGUCCUCGGGUUCGGGCCCUUCGGCAGCGGCCGGUAAAUGUGUGUUGCAUGAAGGAGCUACAUACAGUUCGGAGGAACACCGGUAGGAAGGAAGUCUUCGGGAGGCCGUCCCUGACUGUGCCGCUCUCAAAGGGUCCUUCCUCUGGCUUCAAGCCCACAGCAUUCGCCUGUACCUUCUAUUGCUACUUUAACGGCUUCGUAUACGUGAUUCCCCAGCAAGACUGCCAGCUUAGGGAGGAAACUGCUCACCUUGCUUUGCUGAGCACAUAGUAGGUGCUAAGUAAAGAAGAAAGACUGAAGGUGAAGUGAUUUUCCCCCCAAGGUCACAGCAAGGAAGUAGCAAAGGACGUCCUUAAACGUUUAAACAAAUGGUGUAUACCUUUACCAUUGUAGUCUGUAUUACAUUUUUGUAAUGUGCUCAGCACUAUGUUGACUGAGUAGCAGCAGUUGGAGGGUUAGGGUUUCUGGAGCUCCAAUGUGACCAGACCUAUUGCUGUGUGGAUUAGAGAGCACCCAUUCAGGAAACCUUGGUCUGGGUACUUGCAUAAUCAACGUUUGUGUACCUAAUCCUGAAUUGUACCCCACAUCUUCAUAAUAAAAAUAAAUCUUGAUUUGGGAGACGAGUAUUGGAAAGUGGGAGCAAAAUAGCAGUAAUCCCUGCAA